rnacentral:rRNA from 1 species
GAUGAACGCUGGCGGCGUGCCUAAUACAUGCAAGUCGAGCGAACGGACGAGAAGCUUGCUUCUCUGAUGUUAGCGGCGGACGGGUGAGUAACACGUGGAUAACCUACCUAUAAGACUGGGAUAACUUCGGGAAACCGGAUCUAAUACCGGAUAAUAUUUUGAACCGCAUGGUUCAAAAGUGAAAGACGGUCUUGCUGUCACUUAUAGAUGGAUCCGCGCUGCAUUAGCUAGUUGGUAAGGUAACGGCUUACCAAGGCAACGAUGCAUAGCCGACCUGAGAGGGUGAUCGGCCACACUGGAACUGAGACACGGUCCAGACUCCUACGGGAGGCAGCAGUAGGGAAUAUUCCGCAAUGGGCGAAAGCCUGACGGAGCAACGCCGCGUGAGUGAUGAAGGUCUUCGGAUCGUAAAACUCUGUUAUUAGGGAAGAACAUAUGUGUAAGUAACUGUGCACAUCUUGACGGUACCUAAUCAGAAAGCCACGGCUAACUACGUG